GAUGAACGCUGGCGGCGUGCCUAAUACAUGCAAGUCGAGCGAACAGACGAGGAGCUUGCUCCUCUGACGUUAGCGGCGGACGGGUGAGUAACACGUGGAUAACCUACCUAUAAGACUGGGAUAACUUCGGGAAACCGGAGCUAAUACCGGAUAACAUGUUGAACCGCAUGGUUCAACAGUGAAAGACGGUCUUGCUGUCACUUCUAGAUGGAUCCGCGCCGCAUUAGCUAGUUGGUAAGGUAACGGCUUACCAAGGCAACGAUGCGUAGCCGACCUGAGAGGGUGAUCGGCCACACUGGAACGGAGACACGGUCCAGACUCCUACGGGAGGCAGCAGUAGGGAAUCUUCCGCAAAGGGCGAAAGCCUGACGGAGCAACGCCGCGUGAGUGAAGAAGGUCUUCGGAUCGUAAAACUCUGUUAUUAGGGAAGAACAAAUGUGUAAGUAACUAUGCACGUCUUGACGGUACCUAAUCAGAAAGCCACGGCUAACUACGUG
rnacentral:rRNA from 1 species